rnacentral:rRNA from 1 species
AAUUUAUUGCUAUUAGAUGAGCCUAUAUUAGAUUAGCUAGUUGGUGGAGUAAUAGCCUACCAAGGCAAUGAUCUAUAGCUGAUCUGAGAGGAUGAUCAGCCACACUGGAACUGAGAUACGGUCCAGACUCCUACGGGAGGCAGCAGUGGGGAAUAUUGGACAAUGGGCGAAAGCCUGAUCCAGCCAUGCCGCAUGAGUGAAGAAGGCCUUUGGGUUGUAAAGCUCUUUUAGUGAGGAAGAUAAUGACGGUACUCACAGAAGAAGUCCUGGCUAACUCCGUGCCAGCAGCCGCGGUAAUACGGAGAGGGCUAGCGUUAUUCGGAAUUAUUGGGCGUAAAGGGCGCGUAGGCUGAUUAAUAAGUUAAAAGUGAAAUCCCGAGGCUUAACCUUGGAAUUGCUUUUAAAACUAUUAAUCUAGAGAUUGAAAGAGGAUAGAGGAAUUCCUGAUGUAGAGGUAAAAUUCGUAAAUAUUAGGAGGAACACCAGUGGCGAAGGCGUCUAUCUGGUUCAAAUCUGACGCUGAAGCGCGAAGGCGUGGGGAGCAAACAGGAUUAGAUACCCUGGUAGUCCACGCUGUAAACGAUGAAUGUUAAAUAUGGGAAGUUUA